CAGCCUUUUGGGGAAUCAAUCAACAUGUAGGAAUGUUUUCUUAUGGAGAAAAAAGUAUCCGUGGGCAUAAAUAUUCCCCCCAGAGAACUUCAAACGUUUACAAAAAGAUUUAUAAUUAUUUAAAUUUUCAGCUGAGUGCUGUGGCACACACCUAUAAUUCAACACUUGGGGUCCUAGAUAUUUUGAGAUUCUGUCUCAAAACCAAUUUGAAUUACAUGUUUAGAUAGUGCCCAUCAUAGGGCUAUAGAUAUUUCCUUAAAAUUUCACACAUACAGCCAGGAAGUGGAGUCACAUGCCUUUAAUCUCAGCACUUGGGAGGCAGAAGCAGGUGGAUCUCUGAGUUUAAGGCCAACCUGGUCUACAGAGUGAGUUCCAGAACAGCUAGGCUGUUGCCCAAAGAAACCCUGUCUCAAAAAACAAACAAAAAAUCAUACAUACAUGUGUGUAUGUGUGUGUAUGUAUAUUUAUGUGUAUGGAUGCUCACAUGCCAAAGCAUGGGUUAUAUGAUCAGAGGACAGUUUGCCUGAGUCCCAUUUGUCCUUCCACUAUGUGGGUUCUGGAGGUUGUACUCAGGUUGUCAGGCUCUACAGCAAGUGUCUUUGCUCACCAAGCCAACUUGAAAGCCAGAGAAAACAUUUUUAUCUGAAAGGAUACAACUGUCUCAUAUGCUUUAUGUUUAAAAGAGAAAAAAAUAUUUUUAUUUCUUAAGUAUUGUAUGUACUUUUGAAAGAAGGAGAUGAAGUGAGAUGAAGUGAAAUCUACUUGGUGUUUAUUCAGUCAGAAUGAUAGCAUGCAUCAUUCUGACAUUAUAUACAAAUACUCUAUUGCUGUUAAAAAAUCACAUACUGGCUUAAAGCCUCAGUACUAUCAACUCAUUUAAAAAUAUGGGUGUUUCAAACCCGGGAGCCGCGUUUCAGAGAGGGCGGCUCUGUGACCACUGCCGCCGGCACUUGCUCCGAGUGGUCCUGUGGUCCACCUCUGCCAUGAUGAUCUACGGCUUCCAGAGCAGCUACCAGGACUUCUCCUUCGGGUCUUGGAAACUGACAGCGGCCAAGACCCACAUCAUGAAAUCUGCAGAUGUGGAGAAGUUGUACCUACAACAGAUCAUAUAGAUACAGAGAAAUUGAAAGCCAGAGAACAGAUUACAUUUUUUGAAGAAGUUCUCCUGUUUGAAGAUGAAUUAUAUGAUCAUGGAGUUUCUAGCCUGAGUGUGAAAAUUAGAGUAAUGCCUUCCAGCUUUUUUUCUGCUAUUGAGGUUUUUCUUGAGAAUUGAUGGUGUGCUUAUCAGAAUGAAUGACACAAGGCUUUACCAUGAGGCUGACAAGACCUACAUGUUUCGAGAAUAUGCAUCAUGAAAGAGCAAAAUUGCUAAUUUAAUGCACGUUCCACCUUCCCUCUUCAUGAAACCUAACGAAAUCUCUCAAUAUUUACCAAUCAAGGAGGCAGUUUGUGAGAAGUUAGUAUUUCCAGAAAGGGUUGAAUCUAGCCCUGGGGACUCACAAAGCACAUCCUUGGAAUAGAAUGUGGUACAGCCUACUCUCCAUGUAGAGCCUGCGUGGACAUCUUGGCUGUUUGUAGGGAUAUUUUUAUUAUGAGAAUUAAUUUCCUUGCUUAUGCUCAGAUUUUCUGUGGCCUUAAAGGAAAAAGAGUGUUACAGGCAGGUUCCACUCAACUCUCAUUUAUGUUGUCUGUCUUCAAAUUCCUACUGGAGGUGUAUGCUCUGUAGCAAAAUUUGGAUUCCUAAAUGAUCCCAAAUUGUGACCUCAGCAGCAGUGAUGUGUAUGUGUCUCAGGAGGGGGGCAUGAUCUGCAUCCAUCAUGAAGCAUCGUCUUCUACUGCGAAGAGGCUAAAUUGUAAAUUCCAUCACUGAGUCCCGAUGCCUUGUGACUUUCAUAGGAUUCUGACUGCAUGCUGAUGGACUGUACUGGCUGGGCGUUGGGCUGGCUUUCUGGUGUUUAUUUGCGCUUCUGAAGAGUUGUGACCUGUCACCUAGGAAAUUAAUCUUGUAUUAUUCAUUAGUUCCAGUUUCUGGGCAACAUCAUAUUGUGUGUAUUUGUACACACAUGUAUUUUUAAAACUUUUCAUUUAAAUGUCUUUGUCUCUGAGUAAGUGUUAGAUUACUUAUUUUGAUAAUUCAUUGUUAAAAAUUGUGGAGAAUUAAGAGAAUUUACCUUUAAAAAAAAAGAAACAGAAAGAAAGAAGUGGGUGGCGGGAAAGAUGAGUGUGCUUCUGAGGAUUUUAUUAGUGUGUUCCGGGUGAGGAGUGCCAAGGGAAUGUGUCGCCAUUUCUAAAUAUGACAUGUACCAUUUUAUAUUUAUUUGUCCAGUGUCUUUUGUAAGAGGAGAAUAAAUAAUAAGGAAUUAAGGAAAAAAAUAUGGGU
rnacentral:lncRNA from 1 species